ACACUCCUGCGGGAGGCAGCAGUGGGGAAUUUUGGACAAUGGGGGCAACCCUGAUCCAGCAAUGCCGCGUGAGUGAAGAAGGCCUUCGGGUUGUAAAGCUCUUUUGUCAGGGAAGAAACGGUGGUGGCGAAUAACUACUACUAAUGACGGUACCUGAAGAAUAAGCACCGGCUAACUACGUGCCAGCAGCCGCGGUAAUACGUAGGGUGCAAGCGUUAAUCGGAAUUACUGGGCGUAAAGCGUGCGCAGGCGGUUGUGUAAGUCAGAUGUGAAAUCCCCGGGCUCAACCUGGGAAUUGCAUUUGAGACUGCACGGCUAGAGUGUGUCAGAGGUGGGUAGAAUUCCACGUGUAGCAGUGAAAUGCGUAGAUAUGUGGAGGAAUACCGAUGGCGAAGGCAGCCCCCUGGGAUAACACUGACGCUCAUGCACGAAAGCGUGGGGAGCAAACAGGAUUAGAAACCCUAGUAGUCCCACGAU
rnacentral:rRNA from 1 species